rnacentral:rRNA from 1 species
UACAGAGGGUGCAAGCGUUAAUCGGAAUUACUGGGCGUAAAGCGUGCGUAGACGGUUGCGUAAGUCAGAUGUGAAAAUCCCCCGGGCUCAACCCUGGGGAAUUUGCGAUGGAGACUGCAAGGCUAGAAUCUGGCAGAGGGGGGGUAGAAUUCCACGGUGUAGCAGUGAAAAUGCGUAGAGAUGUGGGAGGGAAACACCGAUGGCGAAGGCAGCCCCCUGGGUCAAAGCAUUGACGCUCAUGCACGAAAGCGUGGGGAGCAAACAG